ACAAGCGAGCUGCGCCUGAGAACGGCCUGCAGGCCUGGCGCUAAAUAAUAAGUCGUUGUUACGUGUUAUGUAUUUAUGUGGCAUCCACCACACGCCUCCGAGAUCCUGGGCGUUUUGAGGUUAAAAAUGUUCAGGCUUCGAGAACCUACCCUGGAGGAGUGUUAGGGUUUCCGGGCUCGGAUGUCCGCGAGCUUGACGCCUGACCCAGUUGUGUCUGUCUGGGCGGUGACGUUUGGUCUGAGCUGAGCUUUCCUCACAAUCGUGAAGUUGGGCUGUGAGGAUCAGGCCUUGCCAGAACCCGAGAUGAGAGGCGAGAGAUUUCUGGGUCAGUAAGGGUGAGAGCCAGGCUCCAGACUAUAGUGAAUUUUCCGAGGAGAUUUGUGUGGGUCCUGAAUACCAUCCCAAGUGUCCUUAUAAGAGAGAGGCAAAAGAGGCAAUAUAGACACAGAAAAGAAAGCCAUGUGAAGAUGGAGCAGAGAGAUAAAUGGCCAUAAGCCAAGGAAUGCUGAUAGCUGCCAGGAGCUGGAAGAAGGCAAGGAAUGGAUUCUCCCCUACAGCCUCCAGAGGCAAUGCAACCCUGCCAACACUUUGAUUUUAGACUUCUGGCCUAUAGAACUGAGAAAGAAUAAAUUUCUGUUCUUUUCAGCUA